UUCGGGCGCCGGCGAGUGGCGAACGGGUGAGUAACACGUGGAGACCUAUCCAUUGGUGGGGGACGACAGCUGGAAACGGCUGCUAAUACCGCAUAAUCCCUACGGGGGAAAGAUUUAUCGCCAUAGGAGGGUUCCGCGUCGGAUUAGCUAGUUGGUGGGGUAACGGCCUACCAAGGCAACGAUCCGUAGCUGGUCUUAGAGGAUGAUCAGCCACACUGGGACUGAGACACGGCCCAGACUCCUACGGGAGGCAGCAGUGGGGAAUAUUGCGCAAUGGAGGAAACUCUGACGCAGCGAUGCCGCGUGGGUGAAGAAGGCCUUAGGGUUGUAAAGCCCUUUCAGUGGGAACGAUGGUGACGGUACCCACAGAAGAAGCCCCGGCUAACUCCGUGCCAGCAGCCGCGGUAAUACGGAGGGGGCGAGCGUUGUUCGGAAUUAUUGGGCGUAAAGCGCGCGUAGGCGGUUUAUUAAG
rnacentral:rRNA from 1 species